rnacentral:lncRNA from 1 species
CCAAACAGCAAUCGCCACAGAGAGCGAUAAAUCAACCGUGGUGCAACAAGCGAGUGAGUGGAGCUACCGCAUACUUUGAUUUGGGCUUGUUCUGCUAGGGGCACUCAACGAGGCAGUGAAAUCUCGAUAUAAACAACUUCAGGAAACCCCAGCAAAUUGUUCCCAAUUCUGAAAGGUCCUCGUAGUGGAAGCCCCAAAAUUAACCAUUUCACCCAUCAGCUGUCACCGUAUCCACAAAAACGUCGCUGUUGGCUCUUUGCCCACGCUUUUGCAAUUUGCCUAGAUUCCACCAUCACGCAUCAUCGCAUACAGAGUGGCUGGCCCAAAAGACGCUGAGAAAACCACCUACAAAGAAGAAGCUCUGCGUUGUCUAUAAAGCACACUGUUUCUUUUUGUUUGUUUUUAACAUUCCUUGCCAUGGAC